AAUUCUGGCCAGUUGCUUAGCGCAGUUCAAGUUACUUAGUGCGCUGGAAGCGGCAUUUCAGGCAAUCCAACUUCUGGCUCGAACCUUCUCGGAGUAUUCCAAGGAUGGAAUACUCUCACUUGAGCGCUGCCGAGGGUGCCGCUUGAGGAAAACGUGAGUUUGUGAAGGGAACCGUGGGGGGGAAGUCUGGUUUCCGUCCUGCUGCUUUCCUUCAACUACAAGAUGGCUUCUCAAAAGGACGCAUGCAAUGCCAUUCCUCAAAGACAAAUGUUUGUUGCAGAUACAGUUCCACCACUGUACAUUAAGUAUGUGGAAAACAGAAGAUAUCCUUUUGGUUCCUGGGUCUCCAGAACAGUAGGAGCAAACAUCCAAAUCUGAUAUAGCACUUCCAGAGAGCCUGGUCUUGGAGGAUAAAACUUUACCUUGAUGGGACUUUUGGCCCCGGUCCCUUAAGAGUUGGGAUUUGGGGUUGUACUGCAGCACAACUCAGCCUAUCCUAAUACAUAUGGGAAUGCAA
rnacentral:lncRNA from 1 species